rnacentral:rRNA from 1 species
GCCUGAUCCCAUUCCGAACUCAGAAGCUAAGACCUUUAGCGCCGAUGGUACUGCAGGGUUCCCUGUGGGAGAGUAGGUCAAUGCCAGAA